rnacentral:rRNA from 1 species
UUGGAGGGCAAGUCUGGUGCCAGCAGCCGCGGUAAUUCCAGCUCCAAUAGCGUAUAUUAAAGUUGUUGUGGUUAAAAAGCUCGUAGUUGAACCUUGGGCCUGGCUGGCCGGUCCGCCUCACCGCGUGUACUGGUCCGGCCGGGUCUUUCCCUCUGUGGAACCCCAUGCCCUUCACUGGGUGUGGCGGGGAAACAGGACUUUUACUUUGAAAAAAUUAGAGUGUUUAAAGCAGGCUAACGUCUGAAUACAUUAGCAUGGAAUAAUGAAAUAGGACGGCUUGGUUCUAUUUCG